rnacentral:rRNA from 1 species
CUUUAUUUGAGAGUUUGAUCCUGGCUCAGGACGAACGCUGGCGGCGUGCCUAAUACAUGCAAGUUGAGCGCUGAAGGUUGGUACUUGUACCGACUGGAUGAGCAGCGAACGGGUGAGUAACGCGUGGGGAAUCUGCCUUUGAGCGGGGGACAACAUUUGGAAACGAAUGCUAAUACCGCAUAAAAACUUUAAACACAAGUUUUAAGUUUGAAAGAUGCAAUUGCAUCACUCAAAGAUGAUCCCGCGUUGUAUUAGCUAGUUGGUGAGGUAAAGGCUCACCAAGGCGAUGAUACAUAGCCGACCUGAGAGGG